rnacentral:lncRNA from 1 species
GUAUGUAGUAUUUGUGGUAUGAAGCAUAGUGACCUUGUCUUCUCUCUCACCCUACUUUAAUAAGGCUUUUCAUAUCUGGAGCUCAUAGGUGGGAGAUAAAGUAUACAUACUUACAAGACAUUUAUUGCAUAGUCAAGCCAUGGAUCCUGAGAAAUAAGUCAAUAAGUCAAAUCAAGAUGUACAUGUGUGGCAAAUGAACGGUGUAUGGUGAUGAUGGUGAUAACAAUGGUGAAAGUCUAAUUCUACUUGUGCUCUUUUGAGGGGAUACAUACAUUUCUUGCUCUUUUGAAACUUUUUGAGGAGAAUGAGAUGCUCUAUGUUUUCUUUUUCUUUCCUCUUAGGUGGGUACCUUGUACCCAUAAUUCUACUGUUGGACACUUGUCCAUUUUUACCUCUCGUCUCACUUUUUCUUUUCUUUCGAGGUUCCAGGCACUUGCCCCUUUUUAUUUCCUCGCAUCCUUUCUCUUUUAUUUUUUAAGAACACUCAUCUCCUGAAAUAAUAUAGCAAGUGGUAGUGACCAAGAUAACUUGAGUAUUUAUUUCACAGGGGAAAACAGAAAUUGGAGAAUAUUUUUGGCUAUUCUCUCCCAGAUUAGGAGUAGAAUACUUUUGGGUGGUUCUGGAGAUGGUAAUGAGUGGAUAUACGUGGAUGCGUACUUCCAGAGUAGAAGGAGCAGGUGUGAGUGAGCGUGCAAGUGAAUCUUGAUUUAACCACAUGACACGCUCCUAAGGGUCUACACAUCUUGACCACACUCAAUACUCAUAAGCAGUAAAAAGUAAAUGUGUAGCUCAAAGUCUUGCAAGCAUGUAUAUAUGGCUAUGGUAG